rnacentral:rRNA from 1 species
UACGUAGGGGGCAAGCGUUGUCCGGAUUUAUUGGGCGUAAAGAGCGUGUAGGCGGCCAGACAGGUCCGCUGUGAAAACUCGAGGCUCAACCUCGAGACGCCGGUGGAAACCGUCUGGCUAGAGUCCGGAAGAGGAGAGUGGAAUUCCUGGUGUAGCGGUGAAAUGCGCAGAUAUCAGGAAGAACACCCGUGGCUAAGGCGGCUCGCUAGUACGGUACUGACGCUGAGACGCGAAAGCGUGGGGAGCGAACAGG